ensembl:snoRNA
GCUGUAAUGUGCGCACAGUUUUCACCUGUGUCUGGUAGCAGUCUAUCUCUGUUUUAAAUUCAGAUCUUGCUAUCCACACAAGCAAUAUGCAGCCAGAGAGUAAGUUGGGAUCAUAGUACUGGUUUAGUGUUGUCUUUUCAGACAUGACUACCACUGGCCAGCCUCCAAAUUCCCACACACAA